ACCACGGCAGAGACUGUGCGUGCGGCAUCCCCAAAAGAAAGAAACCGUAGCGCGCCCCGUCCCCGCGCGUAGGCAUUUUGGUACCGCAUAUAUAAAUAAAAGUAACCUCAAGUUAAAAAAAGAGAGCAUUUGAAUUGAAAGAAGGGAAAAAAUGGCGGGCAAUCUGGCAGUAAUAGAACACUCCAACAAGAACUCGGCGAGGCUGAGAGAGCAGUGGGAGAUCUGCUUCGCUCGCUUCAUCCCCUAUCCCACUCUCCCUCCCUCUUCUGAUCUCCUUCCCCUCCCUCCUCGCCUCCGCAACCUCUCUCCCCGCGGCAACUGGAUCUCCUCCUCCUCCGUCGCCUUCCUCCGCCUCUCCCUCUCCCACCUCCUCCUCACCGUCUCCUUCAACGCCGCUCUCCUCGAGGAGCACUAUGUGACGAAGCUGCAUUUCACGUGGCCUCAGGUGUCGUGCGUCUCUGGAUACCCUGCCAGGGGCAUCAGGACUGUGAUCGUUAGCUACAGAGAUUCCCUAGGCGAGAUUCAAAAGUUUGCUAUGCGAUUUCCAACAAUCUAUGAAGCAGAGUCAUUUAUCAAUGUUUUGAAGGAGAUUCUGAAAGGUGACAAAGACCCAGAACCUUUGAAUACCGACUUUGGUUCUGAAAUUUCGUCGCAGUCAGAGUUCAUGUCAACAAACAAGCUCUCCCACAGCAGAGCUUGUGAGGAUCUGAGCUUUAUGACUCCAGUUGACAAUUACAUUCCACAAUUGCCAUUAUAUGCAAAUAAUGAGGUGGGGCGACCUUUAGGAUCUCAAGAAAAGGGAACAACAUCUGGUCACAACUUUGAAGGCAUGCUCCCAGCCUUGCCACCCAGUUUUUCCACACUACUUAUGGAUUGCUCUCAGAACAACCAUGCUCAACCAACCUUUUCUGAUAAAAUUGAGCUCAAAUCAUUUGUUGCAGCUCAAUCAAUUGUUUCGGAGGAAAUUGAGCUCAAAUCCCAAAUUGUGAGGUACAUGGAAGAUUCAUCCUUCCAAGACAUGUUGGUUAAGGUGGAGAAAGUUAUCAGCGAAUUGGGGGGUGAUAUGUCGCUCUAGAUGUCCAGGGCAUUGAAAAUUGCAUAACGAGCAGCUUAGCAUCUCUUCCUGCUUACUGAAUACUGAACCAUGAUGACCUUUACCACAUAUGGCCCAAAAAAUUUGCAGGAAUGAUAGUGGAGUAGUGGAAGAGUAGUGGGAUGCCUUGGUGCUGAUUGUUUGGUACGUGGCUAAAUAGUCAUUGAGGUAUGUGGGUCUUUUGGUGCACCUUUGUGGUUUGCUAGUGUAUGGUUGGCUGUAAUUGCUAACAUAUAAGAUUUGCACAAGGCAUCAUAGCUUUCCCAUGUAGUAUCCUUUGGAGCCAAGCCAGACCAUUGGACUAAAACCAAUUUGGUUGGAGGGGAAACAGAAUUAUCCCACUUCCAAUCCAACACAUAAAGUGGUUGCACAACUGGGUGAUGAUUGUUAGUCGCUUUAUACAACUAACUUUUGUAUAGAAAUCAUUUUUCUAAGCUUGUAUAGU